AGAGAUUGUGACUUUUCCCAAUUGGUGGAAUUGAUGUCUCAAAAGCAAGUCCUUGAUAAAGAUUGGAGAGAACAAUGAGUUUUGGAUGCAUGAUCAACUUAGAGAUCUCGGAAGGGAAAUUGUUCGUCAAGAAAAUCCAAUGAAUCCAAAAGAGCGUAGUAGGUUAUGGAUUCAGGAGGAAGUCAUCCAUACAAUAAGGACAAAGAAGGUGGAACACUUCGUGAGAGAACUGAUAAAUUCUCUUUUUCUUCUUGGUUUUAAUACUUUUCCUUGAUAAAAUAGAAUGCUGAAUACUACUCGUUUCUUGCUCUCAUUUGCAGAUGAGAAGAACGUUCAAGCAAUGAAACUAGAAUUGUAUCAUGCAAAAGAACCUAUCAAAGGUGAAGAGAUUGGAAGGUUUGAAAAUCUGAGGUUCUUUAGUAUUCAUGGAGGAACGUUGGUUGGCAACCUAAUGGAUUGUUUUCCCAAUUUAAGAUGGAUUGAUUGGAAUUCUUCUAAAUUAAAGUGUCAGUUAACCAAUAUGUGCUUAAAGAAUUUAGUUGUCCUUCAACUUUGUUUAAUUGACGGUAUAGACGAUCUGAAGUUAUGGAGCUUGAUAAAGGUGCGUCAUAUGCUUAUUUCUAUUCUUUGUCCUUGAAAGUAACAUUUGAAUUGUUCCUCCAUUUGAUAAUGCAUUCACUUUUUAUAGGAGGCAAGAAAAUUGAAAGUUCUUAGACUUAUUGACUGUCAUCGCAUAACCAAAACACCAGACUUAUCAGGAUGCUCAACUUUAGAGAGGCUUACUUUUUGGAGUUGCUCUGGUUUAAGGAAGAGUCAUUGCUCUAUUGGGAAGUUAAAGCAUCUAAUAGAGUUAAAGUUUAUUCAAUGCCCUCAGUUUGUUGAAGAAAUUGGAGACUUAAAUAAUCUAGAGCGCUUCUCUUUAACGGAUUGUUGUGGAAUAAAGGGACUACCAGAUUCCAUAUAUAAGUGGAAAUCAUUACGAGAGUUGCGUCUUUCAAUUCGAGGUCCAGUGGAGUUAUCAACUGCUAUCAGAAAGCUUGGGAAUCUAGAAGUGCUUUGCAUUGAAGCUGAUUUGAAAGGUCAACUUCCUUCUGAAAUUGGCUUGCUUCCGCAGCUGCAACUACUGGUGUUAAAAGGGUGUGAUGAAAUCCGAGAGUUGCCAGUUCUCCCAAUAAGUCUAUUCUCUUUGGAAGUGUCAUCUAG
rnacentral:lncRNA from 1 species